UCAAUACGGCGCUUCUGUUUUUUGUUUUCCCUCCCCAUUUUUUUCCUCGACAUGCUCACCCAAAACCCUAUGGGCUUUGAGACAUAUCUUUUUAAUCAUGCCUCUGCCUUGUUUCUCUUCCGCCAUCCUCGUUGUUGUUAUUUUUCAUCAUCGUUCUUGAAACAACAGGAAGAUAGUGCAGGUCAUUUCAUCACUGUUUCCUCCUCAGUUUUUUGUUAUUGUUUCAUCAUCAGUAGAGUGAUUGGGUAUUUGCUGCAGUGAGUCUCUUCCAGAUUGACGAAUUGAACUUAUUUAUUGGGACGAAAUUAGCGAAAUUUAGUUCUGAAUUGGCGAGAAGAACAACGUGAGUUGGUAAAUUAAUGAUGGAUCAAUACUGGAUGAAUCUUCCUAGAGGAUCAGAGGGUUUUAAAGGAGCUUUGAAUGAUUUUCUUGAUGAUUAGUUUACAAAGGAUGCUAUUGAGGGACAAAUUUAUUGUCCUUGUAAAAAAUGUUCUAUGCGCUUUUGUCAUUCUGGAGAUGUUGUUUAUGAUCAUGUGACUGUUGAUGGGUUCGUAAAGGGAUUUAGGGAGUGGUUAAUGCAGAAGGAAUCAUCUUCAUCUACGAGAAUAAUCGUAGAUAAAUUGGGUCUAAAAGUGAUGAUCUAAAUGCAUGUGAUGAUAUUGAUGGUUUGUUGGAUGAUUUAUUUAGAGAUAUUGAUGGUUUCAAUAGAGCUACUGACGUUGUUGAGUUAAUUUGUCAGUUUGAAAUUAUAUUCCCACCAGCUUUAUUUGAUGUUAUCAUGCACUUACCUAUCCAUUUAGUGGAGGAAAUCAAAUUUGGUGGUCCUGUACAAUAUCGAUGGAUGUACUUUAUUGAAAGGUACCUUGGUAGGUUGAAGUUCUAUGUUCGAAAUAGGAGUUUUCCCAAACGAAGUAUAGCUGAAGGAUAUAUGAUGGAGGAAUGCUUGACAUUUAUUUCUCGAUAUUUACGUGAAGGUGUGAGUACUAGAUUGGACAAAAGAUGUGCUAGAAAGUUCGCAAUGAAUCAAGCAGAAGGUGAAUCUUCUAUUUUCCCUAAGGGAGGACAUCCUAUUGGAAGGAAAAGAAAAGGAAAAGGAUUUUCUUUAGACUUCCAAAGCUUGAAGCCAGCUCAUAGAUAUAUCCUCUUCAAUUGCAACAAUGCAACAAUUGAACAAUACAUUAAAGAACACAAAAUUUGGGUGAAUAGUCAACAAGAUCGAAAGCGUGCUAUAAAGAAAGGUCAUGGGCCGACUAAUAUGUUUGAUGUCCAUGCUCGCAAAUUGGAAGACCGUGUUGCUAUCUAUUAUAAUGACAAAGGACAACCUAUUGAUCCAGAAAAGGCUAGGAAUGAGCUUACUCGAUUCUUAGGAACUAUUGCUCAUGACUACAAUUGGGCCCCUUUAACUUGCACAAAUUAGCAAAAAGUUCCAAAUAAGGACAAAAUAUGGGAUUAUGUGAAAGUGAGUGUUAUUUUUUUUAUGUGUUAUGUAGAUUUUAUUUAUUUUUUUAUUAAUACAUAACCAACUUUUUAUUUUGAGCAAGUAUAUCCUUCCACCUGAAUCUGAAGAGUGGGUAUAUGAAACCCUUGAUCAAUCCUGGAGAAGAUUCAAAUGUAGGUUUAAAAAGCUACAUCAUUAAGCAUAUGAUAGCUAUGAAGAGAGAUUGAAACAUCCGCCAGGAAGAGCACUUGAGGCACAUUUCAAAACACUUCUAGCUUAUUGGGAGACUAAUGCAGCAAAGAAAACAAGUUUGCCAAAUUUGGAAAAUCGCGAAGAGUUAGACAAUAUGCACACAGUUGGUCCAGUAUCAUUUGCCAUGCGUUAUGACAAGAUGUUGCGUGAAAAGGGUAAGGCACCAUAAAAAAGAGAGAUGUUUGAAGAGACACGUCAUCGAAAAGAAGGAAAAGUUUAUGAUCGACCUUAUGAUGAUACGCAAAAAAAGAUACCAUGCGGGAACUGGAGGCAUUACAAGAUGAUCAGAAUAGUGAAUCUCAUAAGGAUUCAUUUGAUGAAGUGAUGGGAAAUGCACCAGGUUCAAAACGAUUACAUGGACUAGAUGUUUCCCAUAAGAUGCAAAAAAAUAAAGAAUUAAGUACAUCUUUAACAUUGCCAGAGGAGGUCAUUGAUUCUAUCAAAAAAGUUGUAAUUGCAGACGUGCAAAGAGAUUUGAUCACUCAUACUGCUGGAAUGGAAAGAGUAUCAAAGGAAUUUGAGUCUCAAGCCUAAAAAUUACCAAAUAUGAGCAAGGAACCUGAAGAACCUGACACUCUUGAUUCAAUUGCUGCUUCACUUGGGCGACUACGGAAAAAAGACCCUAGCUUGACCGCAGAAAUGAUUGCCACAGUAUUGGUAUCUACACUUUCAAGUGAUGCAUAAAUAAUAUUGAGAUACCACUCUCUUUAUUAGUCAUGGAUGCAUUUAGGAUGGUAGAUAUAAGGAGAAAGGUAGAUACAAGAAUGGUAGGAAGGGCAUAAAUUGAAAUUCUUCUGGACGGAUUAUGGACAACUAAAUUAAAUACUACUUCCUCCGUUUCGAAAUAAGUGCAACACUUCUUGUUUUUACGUUUGUCAAUGCAUUAUUUUAACCAUUAAUAUCUUCAAUCAUCAAUAAGUAAAAAUUAUAAAAAUUUGAUAUUAAAAAAAUUCACAUGAAGACGAAUCUAACAAGAUCCCACAUGACUAUGUUUUUUCUAAACCCUAAAUCACCAAAGCUAAUUAAAGUUUAAACUGUGAAUAGUAAACACUAUGCAAAUGUUGUAUUUAUUUAGAAACGGAGGUAGUAUAUAGGUUUUGGAUUGUUUGAACUAUUAGUUCUUUUUGGAGAUUCAUUA